rnacentral:lncRNA from 1 species
GGGGGUGGGGAAGGGAGUGGAAAUGGGAGGACGUUAAGGGGGUGGAGUGCAUAUAUUCCUUGGAGAAAUUAGGGAGACUAAAAAUGGGAAAAAAAAUUUGGGCUAUUUUUGCCUAGAUUCUUGGGAGAACCGUGGUUGUGUUGUCACGCGUUAUUUUGAUUUUUGACAACUUGUUUUCCUUGCUUUUGAAUAGGAAAAUGAAGCGUGAUUCAUAUCCGUUACCCUUUUGAGGUGUUAUGUGUUCUGGCUCUUGCAUGGUGACUUCAAAGUGCAAAUCUACAAGCAUAACAGGUUAUAUGGUGCUUUUUUUUUUCUUGAUGACAUGAGCUUCUGUACCUUAUUUUUAUUUUUAUUUUUGCCAAGUGCAUUUUUCUCAAACUAUGAAAAAUCAUAACGGUAAUA